rnacentral:rRNA from 1 species
CUGGCGGCAGGUCUUAGGCAUGCAAGUCGAACGGAUGAUAAGAGAGCUUGCUCUCUAAAGUCAGUGGCGCACGAGUGAGUAACGCGUGGGAAACUGCCCUUCACUGGGGAAUAACGUUUGGAAACGAACGCUAAUACCGCAUACGCCCGCAAGGGGAAAGAUUUAUCGGUGAUGGAUGUGCCCGCGUUGGAUUAGCUAGUUGGUGGGGUAAUGGCCUACCAAGGCGAUGAUCCAUAGCUGGUCUGAGAGGACGAUCAGCCACGCUGGAACUGAGACACGGUCCAGACUCCUACGGGAGGCAGCAGCUAAGAAUAUUGGGCAAUGGAGGAAACUCUGACCCAGCCAAUGCCGCGUGAAUGAAGAAGGCCUUCGGGUUGUAAAGUUCUUUUAGUCAUGAAGAUGAUGACAGUAGUGACAGAAAAAGCACCGGCUAACUUCGUGCCAGCCGCAGC